rnacentral:rRNA from 1 species
UACGUAGGGGGCAAGCGUUGUCCGGAUUUAUUGGGCGUAAAGAGCGUGUAGGCGGCCAUGCAGGUCCGUUGUGAAAACUCGAGGCUCAACCUCGAGACGCCGAUGGAAACCGCAUGGCUAGAGUCCGGAAGAGGAGAGUGGAAUUCCUGGUGUAGCGGUGAAAUGCGCAGAUAUCAGGAGGAACACCGAUGGCGAAGGCAGCUCGCUGGGACGGUACUGACGCUGAGGCGCGAAAGCGUGGGGAGCAAACAGG